rnacentral:rRNA from 1 species
UCAAGCGGGACCGAACGGGGAGCUUGCUCCCUUAGGUCAGCGGCGGACGGGUGAGUAACACGUGGGUAACCUGCCUGUAAGACUGGGAUAACUCCGGGAAACCGGGGCUAAUACCGGAUGCUUGAUUGAACCGCAUGGUUCAAUCAUAAAAGGUGGCUUUUAGCUACCACUUACAGAUGGACCCGCGGCGCAUUAGCUAGUUGGUGAGGUAGCGGCUCACCAAGGCGACGAUGCGUAGCCGACCUGAGAGGGGGAUCGGGCCACACUGGGACUGAGACACGGCCCAGACUCCUACGGGAGGCAGCAGUAGGGAAUCUUCCGCAAUGGGACAAAAAGUCUGACGGAGCAACGCNGCGUUAGUGAUAAGGGUUUUCGGAAUCGUAAAAACCUCUGUUUUGUUUAGGGGCAUGUU